CUCUCACCUGAUGGGGCGCCAGCGAGCGACAGAGAGAAAGAGAGAGAGAGGAAGGUGAGCAGGGAAGAGGAUGGAAUGCAAUCUGUCUUUCUGGAAGCUCGGGACAUAGAAAA